rnacentral:tRNA from 1 species
GCCGGCGUGGCUCAAUGGUAGAGCAGCUGAUUUGUAAUCAGCAGGUUGGGGGUUCGAUUCCCUUCGCCGGCUCCA